rnacentral:rRNA from 1 species
AAUGGUUCUGCUAUCACUCUUGGGAUGGACCUGCGGUGCAUUAGCUAGUUGGUAGGGGUAACGGCCUACCAAGGCGAUGAUGCAUAGCCGAGUUGAGAGACUGAUCGGCACAUUGGGACUGAGACACGGCCCAAACUCCCACGGGAGGCAGCAGUAGGGAAUCUUCCACAAUGGACGCAAGUCUGAUGGAGCAACGCCGCGUGAGUGAAGAAGGGUUUCGGCUCGUAAAGCUCUGUUGUUGGGGAAGAAGGACAGGGGUAGUAACUAACCUUUGUUUGACGGUAAUCAAUUAGAAAGUCACGGCUAACUACGUGCCAGCAGCCGCGGUAAU